rnacentral:ncRNA from 2 species
ACACUUGCCGCACUUUUUGGUGCUCGCAUUCGCGGAUCUCGCGGAUGCAGUCAAACGGGAAACAGGGAGCGAAGUCCCCGAAGUCCGACCGGGACGAGCCAACCUGUGCUGCCCCCGCAACGGUAAGCGACCGCAACGCAAGUUGCAAGUCGUCCCUUGCGCGUUUUUAGCAUGGCGGGCGUGCCGAUUUUCAUUACGCGAAACCACUGCAAGAAACGUGUCGACGCCACUGCGCAGAUGCGCGGGAAGGCGGGACGAUCCGUCGCCAGCCCGGAUACCGGCCAGAGCCCGGCGCGCCCG